rnacentral:rRNA from 1 species
GACAGCAGCAGCCACGGUAAUACGAAGGGUGCAAGCGUUACUCGGAAUUACUGGGCGUAAAGCGUGCGUAGGUGGUGGUUUAAGUCCGUUGUGAAAGCCCUGGGCUCAACCUGGGAAUUGCAGUGGAUACUGGGUCACUAGAGUGUGGUAGAGGAUAGUGGAAUUUCCGGUGUAGCAGUGAAAUGCGUAGAGAUCGGAAGGAACAUCUGUGGCGAAGGCGACUAUCUGGGCCAACACUGACACUGAGGCACGAAAGCGUGGGGAGCAAACAGGAUUAGAUACCCCUGUAGUCCCUGUCUCUUAUAC